UCUGUUCGCUGCAGUUUUUCUGCUAAACUCUUCCAGCUCUGUCAGGUUCUGUCAAGAGCUCUGAACUUUGACUGGACUGUGUUUUACUGCUGUAAUUUGACCUUGUAGAUCUUUACCAAGCCGCUGCAGAGAAGCAUGGUGUGUUUUUGGUGAUGAGUGUUUGGUGUCCACCAAUCACAGCGUCUUGUCUGAUGGUCAGAAAACGUCCAUCCGCUGACCAUGGAGUCUCUUCUCACAUGCCUCUUGACUUGAUGUCCCGGCGCGCAGGCAUGUCCACGGCCAGCUGUCUCCUAUCUGAGGACCAGUUUCGGUGCUUCAUCUGUCGGAAUGUCUUCACGGAUCCGGUCAGCACACCAUGCGGCCACAACUUCUGCAAGAACUGCGUCACAGAAAACGUGUGUGAUGAUGUCCCGUUUCAGUGUCCAGUGUGUGAAAAGAUGUUCUUCCCAAGGCCGGAGCUGGAGGUCAACACUCUGAUCGCUGAGCUGCUCGAUGAGUUCAGAAGGUCAGCUCUGCGCCAGAACGCAGAGGCAGAAACUCCUGGUCCAGUUGGCGGCAAUCCCUUCACUAAAAACAGAAAGAUUGGCAUAUUAUGUGGCUUGGUUCUCUUAUUUAUUUUAUCCUCCCAAGUCAAUCACAGCCCUCCUCUGACAGAGGAAACCGGAGGGAAUGCAAAGGGAAUCAUGGAGGACAUUUGGUCCGGUAGUCCAGCAAAGAGAUGCCAGAAUCUGACCUCUGGACGGAAGCGGACUGCGGUGGGUCCGCUCUCUGUCGCUCAGCUGGAGCAGAUCUUCACCGAGGUGAUGAAGAAGGAAACUCCCAGGCUGCUGAUCCGAGCCGAGCUGAUGAGAGCAAAACGCUACGCCGUGGAUGUGACUCUUGAUCCGGAUACCGUUCAUCCCAAACUCAUCCUGUCGGAUGAUGGGAAACAAGUGAGCUGCUGCAACCCAACGGGGAAUCUCCCGCAUGACCCAAACAGGUUUAGGUUUUUUAAAUUUGUUUUAGGAGAGCAGAGCUUCUCCUCCGGCAGGUUUUACUUCGAGGUCCAGGUGAAAGGAAAGACUAACUGGACCAUCGGUGUGGCCAAGGAGUCCGUCUCUCGGACACAUCCCGUCAGACUGAUUCCUCUGUCUGGUUUCUGGUCCCUAACUGUGAGGAAUCAAAACGAGUUCUUUGGUCUGUCUUCCCCUCCCGUCCCAUUAUCUCUGGAGUCUGGUCUGGAGAAGGUGGGGGUGUUUGUGGAUUAUGAAGAGGGUCUGGUCUUCUUUUAUGAUGUAGAUGCUGCUGCUCUGAUCUUCUCCUUCACUGGCUGCUUCUUCACCGAGAGACUCCACCCACUAUUUGGUCCAGGUCAUAACAACGAUGGGACAAACGGGGCCCCUCUGAUCAUCACACCGGUCUCCGUUGUCCCUCAGUAACAACCUGAUAAUCCAUCUGCUUCCUUUCUCCUGGUUCUCCAAAUGCUUUUUGUCUUUGAUGAUCCACUUCAAGCCUUUCACUCAGGAACAAAUUUACCUAAAACCCAUCAUAAUGGUUGCGCUCCUGGAAGUAUUUCUUUGGAACAGAUCUUUCGCUCAUGGUUACAUCUUUGUUCAUGUAAGUGUUGGAUUAUUCUGUAUUUGUUUGUUCAGUUGUUGUUUACUUGCCAUUUGCUCAAUAAA